AAUAACAUAAACGCAGAGCAGGCCAGGGGUUGAACUGUAAAGUAGGCAAAGCCAGUUUCUUGGGUGGCUGCAGCUGUCUGUCACUGAGCUGUUUUCUUUCCUCUCUACCUCCAAAUGUGUUGGACUCUGUGUGUGACAUGGAACAGAGUUGGCUGGUCCUCCUUUGGCUGUUUGAUAGAUGCCCUUCGAUGCUACUCUGGCCUGUGGUGCUGAUGCGGGUGCCUUGUGCUACACAGGGCCCCUCUCUGCUCUAAGGAUGGAGCGCUCACUGGAGAAAGAGUAACGGGGGCCGUGGGUCAGUCAUCAGGGGAGGGAGCCUCAAAUUUGAACCUGGAAUUUGGAGGGAGAGCCUCAGAUAGGACAUAGAAAGGGACCCUGGUUUGGGGGGACACAAUCUUGAUGGGUGAGUACGUUCUCGGAAGAUAAGCCAAGAGCUGGGACUCAACAAUGCAGACAGGCUGACCCGGUUUGUGCCAGGUCUUUGGAGAUGGAACGGAAUGUGCUCAGCCUUUGAAAAGUAAGCCUGUUUCAAUGUUCACAUGCACAGUGUUUUCUUUUUCAUCUGCUUCACCUUCUAGAACCCUGUUUGAAGGGCCCAGUCCGCUGUAGCUGUAUUGACGGGAACACGGAGAAGGCAGUGGUGCCCAGGCUUGGGCAAGAACUUUCAAGAAUAUCCGAUGUCACCAGCAGUUCAGGGCCAGUCUUCCGGACCCUCAUACCUUUGCAAGGCCAAUUCCGGGCACGGGUCCCAGCUGACCAUAUUGUCUUUCGUGGCUCUACAACACUGAUCAGAUGAUGAUAUUUAGCACAUUACCGAGUGAUUCGAUCUGUUUACCUGACUAGGUAUUCUCUGGACAAUUUCUAAAAGAAAACAACGUCCCACAA